rnacentral:rRNA from 1 species
GGUCAAGCUACAAAGGGCUCACGGUGGAUACCUUGGCACACAGAGGCGAUGAAGGACGUAGUUACCUGCGAUAAGUCUCGGGGAGCUGGAAGCACGCUUUGAUCCGGGAAUUUCCGAAUGGGGCAACCCCUAGAACGGCCAGCUGAAUCCAUAGGCUGGCACGAGCCAACCCAGCGAACUGAAACAUCUUAGUAGCUGGAGGAAAGGAAAGUAAAAACGACUCCCUAAGUAGCGGCGAGCGAACGGGGAAGAGCCUAAACCGAUGGUCUCGACCAUCGGGGUUGUGGGACAGCAAUGUGGACCAACGAACCUAGAAGAAGCGUUUGAAUGGCGCGCCACAGAGGGUGAAAGCCCCGUAAUCGAAAGGAGAGUUGGCCUAGCUGUAUCCCGAGUAGCACGGAGCACGUGAAAUUCCGUGUGAAUCUGCGAGGACCACCUCGUAAGGCUAAGUACUCCUGUGUGACCGAUAGCGCAACAGUACCGCGAGGGAAAGGUGAAAAGAACCCCGGGAGGGGAGUGAAAUAGAACAUGAAACCGUGAGCCUACAAGCAAUGGGAGCCCGACUUAUCGGGUGACCGUGUGCCUGUUGAAGAAUGAGCCGGCGACUUAUAGGCACUGGCGGGUUAAACCGGGAAUGGUGGAGCCAUAGCGAAAGCGAGUCUUAAUAGGGCGUUUGUCAGUGUUUAUAGACCCGAACCCUGGUGAUCUAACCAUGGCCAGGAUGAAGCUUGGGUGAUACCAAGUGGAGGUCCGAACCGACUGAAGUUGAAAAAUCAGCGGAUGAGCUGUGGUUAGGGGUGAAAUGCCAAUCGAACCCGGAGCUAGCUGGUUCUCCCCGAAAUACGUUGAGGCGUAGCGUCUAGUGCUCCAGCAGGGGGGUAAAGCCACCAUUUCGGUGCGGGCUGCGAGAGCGGUACCAAAUCGAUAUGAACUCUGAAUACCCUGUGUGUAACUAGGCAGUCAGACUGUGGGGGAUAAGCUCCACACUCGAAAGGGAAACAGCCCAGACCGCCAGCUAAGGUCCCAAAAUCAACACUAAGUGAUAAAGGAGGUGGGAUUGCCCAGACAACCAGGAGGUUUGCCUAGAAGCAGCCAUCCUCAAAGGAGUGCGUAAUAGCUCACUGGUCGAGCGAUCCUGCGCCGAAAAUGAACGGGGCUAAGUGUUGUACCGAAGCUGCGGAUUUAACUUGUUAAAUGGUAGGGGAGCGUUCUAUGUGGGGUGAAGCGUUAGCGUAAGCGGGCGUGGACUGCA